AGCUGUUCCCCUCUGGAGGUUUGAAACCUUCACAACUGAAAGGGCCCAAGUUUCUUGUGGCCCUCUUUUUUUGUCGGC
rnacentral:ncRNA from 5 species